rnacentral:rRNA from 1 species
CCCUUAGAUGUCCUGGGCCGCACGCGCGCUACACUGACGAAGUCAGCGAGCAUGUCCUACGCCGACAGGUGCGGGGAAUCUUGUCAAACUUCGUCGUGAUGGGGAUUGAUUAUUGAAAUUCUUGAUCAUCAACGAGGAAUUCCUAGUAAGCGCAAGUCAGCAGCUUGCGUUGAUUACGUCCCUGCCCUUUGUACACACCGCCCGUCGCUACUACCGAUUGAGUGAUCCGGUGAAUAAUUCGGACUGCAGCAUUGUUCAGUUCCUGAACGUUGCAGCGGAAAGUUUAGUGAACCUUAUCACUUAGAGGAAGGAGAAGUCGUAACA